CUCAGUUCGGAUUGCAGGCUGCAACCCGCCUGCAUGAAGUCGGAAUUGCUAGUAAUCGCGGAUCAGCAUGCCGCGGUGAAUACGUUCCCGGGCCUUGUACACACCGCCCGCCACACCAUGGGAGUCGGAAAUGCCCGAAGCCGGUGGCCUAACCGAUAAGGGAGGAGCCGUCGAAGGCAGGUCUGAUGACUGGGGUGAAGUCGUAACAAGGUAAC
rnacentral:rRNA from 1 species